rnacentral:rRNA from 1 species
GACGAACGCUGGCGGCGUGCUUAACACAUGCAAGUCGAACGCGCCUGUCCUCUGGGUUUCUGGGGGGUGGGUGAGUGGCGAACGGGUGAGUAACACGUGAGUAACCUGCCCCCUUCUUCGGGAUAACGGUCUGAAAGGGCUGCUAAUACCGGGUAUUCACUGGUCUCCGCAUGGGGUCUGGUGGAAAGGUUUUUUUCUGGUGGGGGAUGGGCUCGCGGCCUAUCAGCUUGUUGGUGGGGUGAUGGCCCACCAAGGCUUUGACGGGUAGCCGGCCUGAGAGGGUGACCGGUAACAUUGGGACUGAGAUACGGCCCAGACUCCUACGGGAGGCAGCAGUGGGGAAUAUUGCACAAUGGGCGCAAGCAUGAUGCAGCGACGCCGCGUGAGGGAUGGAGGCCUUCGGGUUGUGAACCUCUUUCGCCCGUGGUCAAGCCGCGACGUGGGUCGUGGUGAGGGUAGUGGGUAAAGAAGCGCCGGCUAACUACGUG